AUUGAACGCUGGCGGCAUGCUUUACACAUGCAAGUCGAACGGUAACAGGUUAAGCUGAUGAGUGGCGAACGGGUGAGUAAUGCAUCGGAACGUGCCCGAUCGUGGGGGAUAACGCAGCGAAAGCUGCGCUAAUACCGCAUGCGAUCUGAGGAUGAAAGCGGGGGACCGUAAGGCCUCGCGCGAUCGGAGCGGCCGAUGUCAGAUUAGGUAGUUGGUGGGGUAAAGGCCCACCAAGCCGACGAUCUGUAGCUGGUCUGAGAGGACGACCAGCCACACUGGGACUGAGACACGGCCCAGACUCCUACGGGAGGCAGCAGUGGGGAAUUUUGGACAAUGGGCGAAAGCCUGAUCCAGCAAUGCCGCGUGCAGGAAGAAGGCCUUCGGGUUGUAAACUGCUUUUGUACGGAGCGAAAAGGUCCUUUCUAAUACAAGGGGCUCAUGACGGUACCGUAAGAAUAAGCACCGGCUAACUACGUGCCAGCCGCCGCGGUAAGAC
rnacentral:rRNA from 1 species